ACAAGAACGACUCUCGACAACGGAUAUCUCGGCUCUCGCAUCGAUGAAGAACGUAGCGAAAUGCGAUACUUGGUGUGAAUUGCAGAAUCCCGUGAACCAUCGAGUCUUUGAACGCAAGUUGCGCCCGAAGCCGUUAGGUUGAGGGCACGUCUGCCUGAGUGUCACAC
rnacentral:rRNA from 1 species